UACGGAGGAUCCGAGCGUUAUCCGGAUUUAUUGGGUUUAAAGGGAGCGUAGGCGGAGGCACAAGUCAGCGGUAAAAUGUCGGGGCUCAACCCCGGCCUGCCGUUGAAACUGGCGGCCUCGAGUGGGCGAGAAGUAUGCGGAAUGCGUGGUGUAGCGGUGAAAUGCAUAGAUAUCACGCAGAACUCCGAUUGCGAAGGCAGCAUACCGGCGCCCAACUGACGCUGAAGCACGAAAGCGUGGGUAUCAAACAGG
rnacentral:rRNA from 1 species